AGUGAACGCUGGCGGUAGGCCUAACACAUGCAAGUCGAAUGGCAGCACAGUAAGAGCUUGCUCUUACGGGUGGCGAGUGGCGGACGGGUGAGGAAUACAUCGGAAUCUACUUUUUCGUGGGGGAUAACGUAGGGAAACUUACGCUAAUACCGCAUACGACCUACGGGUGAAAGCAGGGGAUCUUCGGACCUUGCGCGAUUGAAUGAGCCGAUGUCGGAUUAGCUAGUUGGCGGGGUAAAGGCCCACCAAGGCGACGAUCCGUAGCUGGUCCGAGAGGAUGAUCAGCCACACUGGAACUGAGACACGGUCCAGACUCCUACGGGAGGCAGCAGUGGGGAAUAUUGGACAAUGGGCGCAAGCCUGAUCCAGCCAUACCGCGUGGGUGAAGAAGGCCUUCGGGUUGUAAAGCCCUUUUGUUGGGAAAGAAAAGCAGCAGGUUAAUACCCCGCUGUUCUGACGGUACCCAAAGAAUAAGCACCGGCUAACUUCGUG
rnacentral:rRNA from 1 species